GGAAGACAGAUUUGUGAAGCCACUUAUUUAUAGCUUCCACGUAUGCCUUCUGAGAGACGAUCCACUUUGUAAAACUUGAUGAUAGAGAACUCAAUUCAUGUUCAAGAUGGAUUGCAAUCUGCCGACGAGAAUCUGAUUGAAUAAGGAUCUUCAUAUUUCCAGGCGAAUGAGCUAUCGAUAUGAUAUGGAGCUGAAGCUUGUGGCAGUCGAACAUAACUUCCCACAUCUUCCUCAAUCCCUCAAUCAACUCCUCCAAUUGAGGCUGAAGUUCCUUGUCUCUUAUUUCUUCAAUUUUCCUAGAGAUGGAAUUAAUUCUAUGAAUUGCAACUCCAAUUCUCGAAUGAAGAUCCUUCACAACAGCACGCGUCUUGUCGAUCCUCUGAGGAGUCUCUACCUUAGAUUCUAGUUGUCGGAGAAGCUUACGCUUAGCAUCAUAAUCACUUCGGAUCAUCUCACUAGCCUUGACUUCGUCAUAUAGCUUUUUCUCCCAUGCAAACAGCCGAUCCAACGUAGAGGCAUGACUUCCUGAGACCAUACAAAAGUUAUCGAAGAGAUUGUUGGAAACAUCCUCAAUACCAUCUGUGGAGUUUACACCAUGCCGAUUUGGGGAUGAAGCAUGAGAUGAUGUGGUACGAUGCCAUGUCAGGAACUUCACAGAAUUUUGAGGAGGCUCUUCAGGAAUCUGGCUUGGAUCAUCCCCGCAAGAGAAACAAGACUUCAUUAAUACUCUGGU
rnacentral:misc_RNA from 1 species